rnacentral:lncRNA from 1 species
AUCCGCGCGCGCAAAUACAUACACACACAUGUACAUGAAAAACCCUAGACAUUGAAUCCAACAUUCUAAUAAUUCAUUUGUCUCAUGUAAGAUUUCUUUUUUAAAAAAAAAAAAAUCGUUUAUUUUUUUUUAUUUGACAGUAUUUCUAUUACCUGUUGAAAAUAUUCCGUUUUCGUUGUUGAUUUUCAUUCUUUGGAAUUUACAAGGCGGAGGAGGAAAAUUGGAAUUCCCAUAAUACCCCUCGGUUGAAGCAGCUGAUGAAUCUCCUACAACUGAUUGUGAAAAAAAGAAAACUUUCGGAGGAGGCAUCGUCAUAUGAUGAGUUGAGUGAAGCAGCGAAACCGAGUGAUUUAGCAUGUAAUUUUGAUGUGCUGAAGUUUGAUGGAGAAAAUUGCAGAAAGGCAAUUGCUAGGACGGUAAUGGUAAAACAUUUACUUUUUAAUGUUCUGUAACUGCACUUUGUCAUAGUUUUAGUCUGCACUUUGCGCUAGUUUUAAUCUCCCAGAUUCGAUAACUGUUGGUAUAUUAGAGGCAGCAAUUGAAAACACUGUUUAGGGAGGAUCCCCAAAGGGUACCUAUGUCUCAAUUAAAUGGCUAGUGAAUGGCAGUUGCAUAGGAAGAUGCUGAAUUUUCUUUUUUACUUCCGGAUAAGGGCCGGGGAGACCAUUGGGAAGCUAAUUGAGAGUUCUUUGCUUGACUUGGGAUAUUAAACAGGUAUUGGCAAUUACGGUUGAUAAUUCAAGUGUUUACGGUGAUGCUAUUAGUUAUGUCAAGAGGUAGUUGAACGAUUGGAGUGGAAAUGCGCUGUUGUUGGAUGGUGAGCGGAGGUUUUCUUAUGAUAACCCUAAGGUUGAAGAGAUGAUCAAAGAGGUUAAAGAGCCCUUGUCGCGUCUUUAUGAGUUGUACGGUGCAUUGAACACUUCCGGUGACACCAAAGCUCCUAUCGAUGCUCAAGCAAGUGGAACGGAUAUGGAAAAUGGAAAAGACAGAGAUGAUUCUGAGUGGAGGUCUUCUUAUAAGAAGUAUUUGAAAGGAAAAUAUGGCACUAAGCUGACAAUUCAAGAUGAUAGGUACUUGUCGGGAACUAAUGAGUUUUUCGAAUGGCAACUUCAAACAAUCUAAAAUGGUGGAAAGUAUGUUCUCAGAAGUACCCUAUUUUAAUAGCGAGGGACCUAUUUUUUAUUCGAGUAUCUGAGUUUUCAUUUAACACUGAUGGGCGGAUUCUUGAUUUGUUUCAAAGUUCAUUGGGCCUUGAGACAGUUCAGGCGGUAAUAGGUUUACAUAAUUGGUUACAAUCCUCUGCUGCUCGUGUAGAUAAUUUCACCCAGGAGAUGGAGAUUAAUGAUUUAAUUGAAUCUGGUAACAAUUUAAAGGCUUGUUGCAAUUUGUCUUUAUUUAUUCAGUACUUUUUUAAUUAGUUCCUAUAAUGUUUUCUCUUUUUGCCUCGUUUGUUUCAAGUAGAGCUUUAAGGAUCAUGACAAGGAAUGGAGCAUAUGGCAUAUGGCUAUGAAUUAAUAUGAUAUCCUUGCUAAUUGUUUUAAUAAGGUACUUAUUGACUUCUUAAGAUUUAAGUAUUCUGUUUAUCUUAUCUUAUGCCUAACAUAUUUUGCUUUCAUUUUGUUUUUUAGUUGGCGGGUAAUGUUUUAAGGAUUGGAAACUAUGAGGUUCUGAAUUUCAAAUUUUGAAACGGGAUCAUGCAUGCUUGGGGGCUUAGAAGUGAUGUUGGAGUGUGGAUUGAGGAAACAAAUACAUCUGGAUUGGAAUGCUUGGCUUUGAUGCAUUGAAGUCAAUAGGUAUGUAUCUAUAGUGUUCUUCAUCUGGUCUACUCUGAUUCUCAUUCUAUAUAUUAUAAAACCACUCAUAGUGAUAUAACAAUGACAUAUUGAUUUGGUCGAGUUUUCAUCUUUAAUUUUCCCAGAUAUUUGAUCUCAAGUGAGAAAUGAAUGGUAAAACACCAUACCACCUGUUCUUUCAAAUACAAGUCAGUAAGGAUCAUCUCA